UUGAAGCACCGGUUCUCGUCGGUUUGCCGAAGUUAAACAACGUCAAGCCUGAUCAGUACCAUGAUGGGUGACCGCUUGCGAAUACCACGU